AGAGUUUGAUCAUGGCUCAGAAUCAACGCUGGCGGCGUGCCUAACACAUGCAAGUCGCACGAGAAAGGGGCUUCGGUCCUGAGUAAAGUGGCGCACGGGUGAGUAACACGUGAAUGAUCUACCUCCGAGUGGGGAAUAACUGAGAGAAAUCUUAGCUAAUACCGCAUAACACUUACGAGUCAAAGCAGCAAUGCGCUUGGAGAGGAGUUCGCGGCCGAUUAGUUAGUUGGCGGGGUAAUGGCCCACCAAGACGAUGAUCGGUAUCCGGCCUGAGAGGGCGCACGGACACACUGGAACUGAAACACGGUCCAGACUCCUACGGGAGGCAGCAGUGGGGAAUUUUGCGCAAUGGGGGAAACCCUGACGCAGCAACGCCGCGUGGAGGAUGAAGUAUCUUGGUACGUAAACUCCUUUCGAUGGGGAAGAUAAUGACGGUACCCAUAGAAGAAGCCCCGGCUAACUUCGUGCCAGCAGCCGCGGUAAUACGAGGGGGGCAAGCGUUGUUCGGAAUUAUUGGGCGUAAAGGGUGCGUAGGCGGUUUGAUAAGUCUGAUGUGAAAUCUCUGGGCUCAACCCAGAGUCUGCAUUAGAAACUGUCGGGCUUGAGUAUGGGAGAGGUGAGUGGAAUUUCCGGUGUAGCGGUGAAAUGCGUAGAUAUCGGAAGGAACACCUGUGGCGAAAGCGGCUCACUGGACCAUAACUGACGCUGAGGCACGAAAGCUAGGGGAGCAAACAGGAUUAGAUACCCUAGUAGUCC
rnacentral:rRNA from 1 species